CCCCCCCCCCCCUCCUUCUAUUUUUGAUAUAUGGAGUUGCACAAACUGACCAAUAGGUGGCUGCUGGGAGGCCAUUUAUUAGGGGAAAGGAAAACGUCCAUUUAAGAUUGCCACAGCUUUAGCUUUAGCACUUCUUGAAUGGUUACUUGAUUGUUUUGAUGUUUAUCAAUGGUUGUUUCCCAUACGUGGUUAUGCAAUUUGCCCGAUAUUGCCAGGUUUAAUCCGUGUUUGUAUUGCUCAAGGUGGAUCCUAUCUUGGCAAGGAAUGAGUAGGAUGUUACUGGGAUUUGAUCUUCUUCAACCAUAACAUGAGGAUCCAUGUUUUAAAAGGUAAAGCUGGAACAUACUGUAUCUUGCCUCGGCACAAAGCAUCCUCUAAGCGCCACAAGGAAAUCAUGGAAGGCUAAAAUCUCAUGGUUCUGACGUUUCGAAAGGGUGGGGCAUUUGUGCCAUGCAUGCUUUAUGCUUUUGACUGUUUGCCCAAUUGCUGAUGAGCAAACUGGGAGCUGAACUCCAGUUGGUAAUGAGAAACAAUACUGGAGAAGAAGAACCUGGGUUCUUCGCUUCAGGCACAACAAAAUGUAUUUGUUGCAAUGAGGUAUGGGUUCCCAAAGUUUGUGCACAGACGUUGUUUCAGAGUAAAUCAUUCAGUUAAAGAUGAUGCACUUUUAUCACAAUUUAAUGGAAAGACAAGAGGGAUGACACCAAGGAGAUUGAAACUAAGGUGAUGCAAAUCAAGCAAUGGCGAUGAUAACCAGAUUACGAGAAGAGAAGGCAACACUAGAGAUGGAAACCCUGCAAUGCCUCAUGGAAGAGCAAGCUGAAUGUGACAGUGAGGCAUUACAGAAAGCAAAUGAUCUGCAUGUACGUUGAGAAGAGAAAGCAACUCAAGGCCAAAAAUUGAAAGAAUUUUAACUAAUUUUGUUUGCAGUUGACUGUUUUCGUCCAAUUAUAGACGCAAUACAAUGUCUCGCUCUCAUAGAUGACCCUUGUGUUAGACGCAGAACUUGAACUUCAAAACAGAAUUUUUGGGACGUCAA